rnacentral:rRNA from 1 species
AUACGGAGGGUGCAAGCGUUACUGGGAAUCACUGGGCGUAAAGCGCGCGCAGGCGGUCUUUUAAGUUGGAUGAGAAAGCCUACGGCUCAACCGUAGAACUGCAUCCAAAACUAUUAGACUAGAGUGUGGGAGAGGAAGAUGGAAUUAGUUGUGUAGGGGUAAAAUCCGUAGAGAUAACUAGGAAUACCAAAAGCGAAGGCAAUCUUCUGGAACACUACUGACGCUGAGGCGCGAAAGCGUGGGGAGCAAACAGGAUUAGAAACCCCGGUAGUCC